CCUACGGGUGGCAGCAGUGAGGAAUAUUGGUCAAUGGGCGAGAGCCUGAACCAGCCAAGUCGCGUGAGGGAGUACUGCCCUAUGGGUUGUAAACCUCUUUUGUCGGGGAGCAAAAGCCGGACGUGUCCGGCUGUGAGAGUACCCGAAGAAAAAGCAUCGGCUAACUCCGUGCCAGCAGCCGCGGUAAUACUGGGGAUGCGCGCGUUAUCCGGAUUUAUUGGGGUUAAAGGGUGCGCAGGCGGAUUUUUAAGUCAGCGGUCAAAUCGUGGGGCUCAACCCCGUCCAGCCGUUGAAACUGGGGAUCUAGAGUGUGCGAGAGGUAUGCGGAAUGCGUGGUGUAGCGGUGAAAUGCAUAGAUAUCACGCAGAACCCCGAUUGCGAAGGCAGAAUACCGGUGCACAACUGACGCUGAGGCACGAAAGCGUGGGUAUCGAACAGGAUUAGAUACCCUUGUAGUC
rnacentral:rRNA from 1 species